UCUCAUGCUGUGUUGAGCCUGCUGUUGAGUUCAGAGAAAUCAUUUCCAUAGAGAGGAGGCGUCACAUCGUCAGCAGUGAGCUGAGAAGCUUUAAAGCGGCGUGAGUUCAUCACUGCAGGACUCAGAUCUGUCAGAAAGCAAAAACAGCAUGACUCUCAUCACCAUCCUCAUGUGGACUCUGAGCUGCUGCUGGUUCACAGGAUGCAGCAGUCAGAUUACUGUGACUCAGCCUCCACUAGUCACAUCGACUGCAGGAUCCACUGUCACUCUCACCUGUACAACUAACACACCUGUUUACAGAUGGUCUGAUGGUGAUGUACAGACACACUGGUAUCAACAGAAAUCUGGGCAGGUUCCAAAGCUCCUUAUAUACCUGGGAAGAAAUCGUCAUUCUGGAACACCAGGUCGGUUUAGUGGCAGUGGAAGCAGCACUGACUUCAGUUUGACCAUCAGUGGAGUUCAGGCUGAAGAUGCAGCAGUUUAUUACUGUCAGAGUUACCACAGUGGGCCUGUGUUCACACAGUGAUUUAGAGUCGUACAAAAACCUCCCUCAGUCAGAGACGCUGAGCCGUUACACACACACACACACACACACACACACACACACACACACACACACAC